UACGGAGGGGACUAGCGUUGUUCGGAAUUACUGGGCGUAAAGCGCACGUAGGCGGAUUUGUAAGUCAGGGGUGAAAUCCCGGGGCUCAACCUCGGAACUGCCUUUGAUACUGCAAAUCUCGAGUCCGGAAGAGGUGAGUGGAAUUCCUAGUGUAGAGGUGAAAUUCGUAGAUAUUAGGAAGAACACCAGUGGCGAAGGCGGCUCACUGGCCCGAUACUGACGCUGAGGCACGAAAGCGUGGGGAGCAAACAGGG
rnacentral:rRNA from 1 species